rnacentral:rRNA from 1 species
GACGAACGCUGGCGGCGUGCCUAAUACAUGCAAGUCGAGCGGACCUCUUCGGAGGUCAGCGGCGGACGGGUGAGUAACACGUGGGCAACCUGCCUGUAAGACUGGGAUAACUCCGGGAAACCGGAGCUAAUACCGGAUACUAUGUCAAACCGCAUGGUUUGACAUUCAAAGACGGUUUCGGCUGUCACUUACAGAUGGGCCCGCGGCGCAUUAGCUAGUUGGUGAGGUAACGGCUAACCAAGGCGACGAGGCGUAGCCGACCUGAGAGGGUGACCGGCCACCCACGGACUGAGACACGGCCCAGACUCCUACGGGAGGCAGCAGUAGGGAAUCUUCCGCAAUGGACGAAAGUCUGACGGAGCAACGCCGCGUGAGUGAUGAAGGUUUUCGGAUCGUAAAACUCUGUUGUCAGGGAAGAACAAGUGCCGGAGUAACUGCCGGCGCCUUGACGGUACCUGACCAGAAAGCCACGGCUAACUACGUGCCAGCCGCCGCGGUAA